UAUUCAUCUUUCCUAGAAAUAAUUUACAUGGCAAAACAACGUUUGCCGGGCCAGCUAGUGUUAAUAUAUAAAAAUAAGUCGAGUUUUUUCGAACACUUAUAAAAUUUACGAAAAAAUUUAACGAAAUAAACAUUUUUACAGAAUGUUCAUUUUCGGGUUCGACAAUAUAUAUAUAAUAUUCGGAUAAUGGCGUAUUUUAUAUUUGAAAAAUUCAGUAAUGAAAAAGGAUUGACAUAUUAUGUAUAAAAAGGGUGUCCCCGAAACUCAACGUCAACCGGGUAAAGGGCUAUGGGUCCCGUCAAAUUUGAAGUUUGCCUGUUACAAGAAUUCUUAGAAGGUAAUUAGGAAGUAUUUUAAGCAAGAAUAAUGGACAGAUCCGAACAGCUAAAGUUCGUGCUCAUAGUAGUAUCAAUGGCGUCGUGUCUGGCUUAUUCUUUCGGCGUAUUUUCACCGCAAUUUCCGGAUAACGAUCAAAAAAAUGUCUCGGAAAAGAAAAAGGACGCUCAACAGAAGAUGCAAGCAUCUAGAAUUGUGAAAACCAGUUUUAGUUGAUUUUUUUACAUACACGACUUGAGUCUUGCACAGUUUCAUAUUCAUGUAAUAAAUUGUUUUUUUAGAUUAUAUAUUUUCUUGUCGAA